rnacentral:lncRNA from 1 species
AUGUCAAAGGAUGAGGCGACCGCCCAGGCACCAUUCCCGCUGGUUCCUGAGGGCUCCCCUAUUCUCCUCCUGCAACCCAAAAAGAGAGAGCAAGUUCCAGCCUGGGCUGCGGCCACCUCCCAAGCAUCGUGCCCGUUCCCUUUCCAUUCCCCCACCAGCACAAAAGCCCAACCACGCUCUGGAAGCAGAGCCGCGCCAACGCCAGGAAGCGAGGCAGCUUUCAAAAUCCGAAUGGCAAAGCCACGUUGGAGGAGCCACCGUAGGAGAAGCUACUGCUGCCCAGCCCGGCCCAGUCCGGGCCGCCCUCACGAAAUCCUCGUAGACAACUCGCUGGCCGGGCCUCCUUCCUCCUCCCGGCCGCUGCCAGCCAGGCCAGACCGGGCCAGGGAGCGGCCUUUCAGCGCGCCCCGGACUCCGGGCUCCGGCGCGCGUUUGCCAAGGCAGCGGCCGCUUCCCAGAGAGCGCCGCCCGUCGAGGGGGGCUGGGAGCCGCAGCCGGCGCUGGAGAAAGAGCGACGCGGUGCUGGCUCUCCCGGUCCGAGGAAGGGCUCUUGCUGAGCGGCCUCGGCUCCCCUACCCUCGACCCUCCCCCUUCCUCUCGCCACCCACCACCUCCCCACAAAAAAACCCCGAGCGCUGGCCGUCGCGGGGCGCCCUUCCCGGCUCAGCAUCCUCGUCGUCGCCCGCUCGCACUCACCUUCCACGGCGGCGGCCAGGCGCAGCAGCGGCGGCAAUAGCAGGAGCCCGAGCCGAAGCAGGAGCGCACCCGGGCCCGGCGGCGGCUCCAUGGCGCGGCGCUCUCAGGGGCUCUAGGCGGCCAUGGAGCUCCGAGGAGAGCGGCAAGGCCGGCGGGGGGGAAAGGAGGAGGAGGAGGAUCGGGGGCUGGAGUGGGGUAGGGAGGAGGAUCGGGGAGGGGGCGCUGCCUGGCUCGCUCGCGCCCCGCUUGGACGCUCGCUCGCUCGCUCCGUCCGCGACCGUGUCCGCCUGGCGCUCUGGGAGAGGGAGCUAG